rnacentral:lncRNA from 1 species
CUUCCCAUUUUCUAUUUGCCGACUCCAUUGAAGACUUGAAAACUGAUCCCCAUGAUUUCUCUCCAACUCGUCGUGUUCUCAUGGGGAGUGAGCAGUGAUUAGGCCAUAAGAUGUCAAAAAGGGUUCUGCUCCAAAUUCACCCAUCCACACACAAACGUCACCUCAGGAAUCAAGGAUUAGAACUCUGGCCCAUUUGGUUUACCGGUUUUGGGCCUGAGCAAAUAGCCCACC